rnacentral:rRNA from 1 species
CAGUAGCCGCGGUAAGACGGAGGAUGCAAGCGUUAUCCGGAAUGAUUGGGCGUAAAGCGUCUGUAGGUGGCUUUUCAAGUCCGCCGUCAAAUCCCAGGGCUCAACCCUGGACAGGCGGUGGAAACUACCAAGCUGGAGUACGGUAGGGGCAGAGGGAAUUUCCAGUGGAGCGGUGAAAUGCGUUGAGAUCGAAAAGAACACCAACAGCGAAAGCACUCUGCUGGGACGACACUGACACUAAGAGACGAAAGCUAGGGGAGCAAAUGGGAUUAGAUACCCGUGUAGUCCCUGUCUCUUAUAC